rnacentral:rRNA from 1 species
UACGUAGGGAGCAAGCGUUGUCCGGAUUCACUGGGUGUAAAGGGUGCGCAGGCGGGAAAGUAAGUCAGAGGUGAAAUCUCACAGCUUAACUGUGAAACUGCCUUUGAUACUGCUUUUCUUGAGUUCGGGAGAGGUUGAUGGAAUUCCAGGUGUAGCGGUGAAAUGCGUAGAUAUCUGGAAGAACACCAGUGGCGAAGGCGGUCAACUGGCCCGUAACUGACGCUCAGGCACGAAAGCGUGGGUAGCGAACAGG